rnacentral:rRNA from 1 species
AUGCCUUUUCCACCCAAGUCAACUAAAAACAAAGAUGAAGAAGAAUUUGAACGCUUUGCUGAAAUGCUUAGGCCAGUCUUUUUGCGUACUCACUUAACUGACAUCUUAAAAAUGCCUCCUUAUGCAAAGUAUAUGAAAGACAUCAUCACAAAUAAGAGAAAAAUACCGGAAGCUGAAAUCUCCACUAUGCUUGCUAAUUAUACUUUCAAAGAUGGAGUACCUAAAAAACUUGGAGAUCCGGGAAUACCAACUAUACCUUGCUCUAUCAAAAAGAAUUAUGUGAAAACUGCUUUGUGUGAUUUAGGAGCUGGUGUUAGUGUUAUGCCUUUCUCUUUAUACAAAAGACUUGAUCGGAAUAAACUCACACCUACUGAAAUAUAUUUGCAAAUGGCUGACAAAUCAACUGCCACACCUAUCGAUAUCUGUGAGGAUGUGCCCGUUGUUGUUGCUAAUGUUACCAUUUUGGCUGAAUUUCUUAUACUUGAGAUGCCCGAGGACGACAACAUGUCAAUUAUCCUUGGUAGACCCUUGCUGAAUACUGCAGGGGCUGUUAUUGAUUGCAAUAAAAGCAAGAUCACUUUUCAUAUUAAUGGUAAUGAGCAUACGGUGCACUUUCCGAAGAAACAAUUCCAAGUGAAUGGUAUUAGUGUUAUUGAAAAAUCUCCUACAAUCACUAUUGGAAGUUUUCAAAUACCUCUACCUACUGCCAAAAAGAAAUAUGAAAUGCUUAUUGUUGGGGAAAUGCAUAUCCACAUUGAGGUAACUUAG